rnacentral:rRNA from 1 species
GAUGAACGCUGGCGGCGUGCCUAAUACAUGCAAGUCGAGCGAACGGACGAGAAGCUUGCUUCUCUGAUGUUAGCGGCGGACGGGUGAGUAACACGUGGAUAACCUACCUAUAAGACUGGGAUAACUUCGGGAAACCGGAGCUAAUACCGGAUGAUAUUUUGAACCGCAUGGUUCAAAAGUGAAAGACGGUCUUGCUGUCACUUAUAGAUGGAUCCGCGCUGCAUUAGCUAGUUGGUAAGGUAACGGCUUACCAAGGCAACGAUGCAUAGCCGACCUGAGAGGGUGAUCGGCCACACUGGAACUGAGACACGGUCCAGACUCCUACGGGAGGCAGCAGUAGGGAAUCUUCCGCAAUGGGCGAAAGCCUGACGGAGCAACGCCGCGUGUGUGAUGAAGGUCUUCGGAUCGUAAAACUCUGUUAUUAGGGAAGAACAUAUGUGUAAGUAACUGUGCACAUCUUGACGGUACCUAAUCAGAAAGCCACGGCUAACUACGUG